AACCUGCCAGUACUAAGGAUUGACUCAUUGCGGCGUUACUUGAAGCACUUCAACAUUCCGCUCAAGAAUCCAGAUGCUACGGAGGAUGAGAUGGUUGACGCAGUCCAGCAUCACUUCAUGUCGCUGAAAGUGAAUGAGGAUGAAGUGAUCGUGGAUUUCAUUCGUGCUGCAAAAAAAUUACGGCCUAACAAGU